CCUGGACUCACAACCUGUGAGUUGGGAUUUAGCGUUAAGAGAAAAUAGGACUAUAAAACUGAACCACGUCAGGGAAUCAAAACCAAGAGCCAGAAGAGGGCUUCUGGAAAAGUUCCCGAUUACUGCUUUUUCUUUCCACUUGGGCCUUCUUCACUUGGUGGUUCUCAACUUGUUGUUUGAUUUGGUUGUAGGGCAAAGUGACAAGGAAAUAAAGACCCCUGGAACGUCACCUCCAUUUCAUAACCUCCUACCACAUCACUAGUUCUGAUAGGCAGGCUGCUCUGAGAUGCCGUUCCUGCCUCCUGGACAAGUGUCCCAUGUCUAAAAUGGUUUAGAUAAGGUGUCCCCACUGGAAACACACACCAGGAGUUGGGGCAGGGAAAAAGAGGUGGGAGAGGAGAGAAGGACUACCUACAUCGUGACGACCUGUGUCUAUGCCAAGGUGAGUGUGACGGAUUCCAAUCCCAGGAAGGGGGAUUUCAAAGCUUCAUAUCGUACAUAAGUGUAUAUACAAGUGCAUCAUGUGCUCUCACUGAGGGUUCAGUUUGUCUGUCUACAAAACCGAGCACCCUGCAAAACAUCUCUUUGCACCCCUUUGAAAAUGGCUGAGGAUGCAGCUAGGGCACAGUCAGCCUUCCAACUCUCUCCUCUCCUCCCUCUGGAACACAGUGGCCGGAAGAAAACAGAACGAUAGACCUAGGACCCCGGGAGCCUCUACAGCCACAUGGAUGGCAGAGAGUGGGAAUCUCUAACCAGCUAUCAGCUGUUCCAAGUCUGCAGUCUCAGCUGUCAUCACUUGGACUUCUGGCUUUCUUCACACCCCACCCCACCCCACCAUCAGGGCCCGAGUGGGUGGUGCAGAACAACCCACUUGGAAGGUGGUGUCCAUGGUGGGAAGAGGAAGCACCUUGCAGUGGUGAGUAAACAGGCCCCGUAACGAGAGCCCUUCGCUGACUGCUUCUGAAUAAAGGCUUCAGACUGACUCGUCGGGAGAAUGGGGAAGA
rnacentral:lncRNA from 1 species